rnacentral:rRNA from 1 species
AUUGAACGCUGGCGGCAGGCCUAACACAUGCAAGUCGAGCGGAUGAAGAGAGCUUGCUCUCUGAUUUAGCGGCGGACGGGUGAGUAAUGCCUAGGGAUCUGCCUGGUAGUGGGGGAUAACGUCCGGAAACGGGCGCUAAUACCGCAUACGCCCUACGGGAGAAAGCAGGGGACCUUCGGGCCUUGCGCUAUCAGAUGAGCCUAGGUCGGAUUAGCUAGUUGGUGAGGUAAUGGCUCACCAAGGCUACGAUCCGUAACUGGUCUGAGAGGAUGAUCAGUCACACUGGAACUGAGACACGGUCCAGACUCCUACGGGAGGCAGCAGUGGGGAAUAUUGGACAAUGGGCGAAAGCCUGAUCCAGCCAUGCCGCGUGUGUGAAGAAGGUCUUCGGAUUGUAAAGCACUUUAAGUUGGGAGGAAGGGCAGUAAGUUAAUACCUUGCUGUUUUGACGUUACCGACAGAAUAAGCACCGGCUAACUUCGUGCCAGCCGCCGCCGUAAUAC